rnacentral:lncRNA from 1 species
AGCCAUGGUUUCGCUACUGGGAAAUAUUUGGACGUGGGCAAGUUCAACCCCAGGCCAGGGUUGUAAGAGACAGAUGGACAGACAAGAUCCUUGUCAAGAGCUCUUGAACCUACCCCACAAAAGAUGCCAAAGGCUUCCACAGUUGGGGAGGAAGACACCGUAUCAAGAAAAUGUAUUCUCAUUAGAGAAAGCAAUAAAGCUCUGAGAGGUUUUGGGCUUUUAAUUAUUAAACAUUGAAAUAAAAUUUCAGAUGAAUCCCCCAA